GCUCAGAUUGAACGCUGGCGGCAUGCCUUACACAUGCAAGUCGAACGGUAACAGGUCUUCGGACGCUGACGAGUGGCGAACGGGUGAGUAAUACAUCGGAACGUGCCCAGUCGUGGGGGAUAACUACUCGAAAGAGUAGCUAAUACCGCAUACGAUCUGAGGAUGAAAGCGGGGGACCUUCGGGCCUCGCGCGAUUGGAGCGGCCGAUGGCAGAUUAGGUAGUUGGUGGGAUAAAAGCUUACCAAGCCGACGAUCUGUAGCUGGUCUGAGAGGACGACCAGCCACACUGGGACUGAGACACGGCCCAGACUCCUACGGGAGGCAGCAGUGGGGAAUUUUGGACAAUGGGCGAAAGCCUGAUCCAGCAAUGCCGCGUGCAGGAUGAAGGCCUUCGGGUUGUAAACUGCUUUUGUACGGAACGAAAAAGCUUCUCCUAAUACGAGAGGCCCAUGACGUACC
rnacentral:rRNA from 1 species